rnacentral:rRNA from 1 species
AGCGAACGCUGGCGGCAGGCCUAACACAUGCAAGUCGAACGAACCUUUCGGGGUUAGUGGCGGACGGGUGAGUAACACGUGGGAACGUGCCUUUAGGUUCGGAAUAACUCAGGGAAACUUGUGCUAAUACCGAAUGUGCCCUUCGGGGGAAAGAUUAAUCGCCUUUAGAGCGGCCCGCGUCUGAUUAGCUAGUUGGUUGAGGUAAUGGCUCACCAAGGCGACGAUCAGUAGCUGGUCUGAGAGGAUGAUCAGCCACAUUGGGACUGAGACACGGCCCAAACUCCUGCGGGAGGCAGCAGUGGGUAAUCUUGCGCAAUGGGCGAAAGCCUGACGCAGCCAUGCCGCGUGAAUGAUGAAGGUCUUAGGAUUGUAAAAUUCUUUCACCGGGGACGAUAAUGACGGUACCCGGAGAAGAAGCCCCGGCUAACUUCGUG